CCUACGGGUGGCAGCAGUGAGGAAUAUUGGUCAAUGGACGCAAGUCUGAACCAGCCAUGCCGCGUGCAGGAAGACGGCUCUAUGAGUUGUAAACUGCUUUUGUACGAGGGUAAACGCAGAUACGCGUAUCUGUCUGAAAGGAUCGUACGAAUAAAGGUCGGCUAACUCCGUGCCAGCAGCCGCGGUAAUACGGAGGAUUCAAGCGUUAUCCGGAUUUAUUGGGUUUACAGGGUUCGUAGGCGGGCGGAGACGUUAGAGGUGAAAUCCCGAGGCUCAACUUCGGAAUUGCCUCUGAUACUGUUCGGCGAGAGAGUAGGUGCGGUAGGCGGAAUGUAUGGUGUAGCGGUGAAAUGCUUAGAGAUCAUACAGAACACCGAUUGCGAAGGCAGCUUACCAAGCUACUUCUGACGUUGAGGCACGAAAGCGUGGGGAGCAAACAGGAUUAGAUACCCCUGUAGUC
rnacentral:rRNA from 1 species